rnacentral:tRNA from 1 species
AAGAAGUUAAUUUAAAUUAAAAUAAUUAUUUGUCAAAUAAAAUUUACAAUUAAAAUUGUACUUCUUG